rnacentral:rRNA from 1 species
GACGAACGCUGGCGGCGUGCUUAACACAUGCAAGUCGAACGGAAAGGCCCUGCUUUUGUGGGGUGCUCGAGUGGCGAACGGGUGAGUAACACGUGAGUAACCUGCCCUUGACUUUGGGAUAACUUCAGGAAACUGGGGCUAAUACCGGAUAGGAGCUCCUGCUGCAUGGUGGGGGUUGGAAAGUUUCGGCGGUUGGGGAUGGACUCGCGACUUAUCAGCUUGUUGGUGGGGUAGUGGCUUACCAAGGCUUUGACGGGUAGCCGGCCUGAGAGGGUGACCGGCCACAUUGGGACUGAGAUACGGCCCAGACUCCUACGGGAGGCAGCAGUGGGGAAUAUUGCACAAUGGGCGGAAGCCUGAUGCAGCAACGCCGCGUGCGGGAUGACGGCCUUCGGGUUGUAAACCGCUUUCGCCUGUGACGAAGCGUGAGUGACGGUAAUGGGUAAAGAAGCACCGGCUAACUACGUGCCAGCAGCCGCGGUGAUACGUAGGGUGCGAGCGUUGUCCGGAUUUAUUGGGCGUAAAGGGCUCGUAGGUGGUUGAUCGCGUCGGAAGUGUAAUCUUGGGGCUUAACCCUGAGCGUGCUUUCGAUACGGGUUGACUUGAGGAAGGUAGGGGAGAAUGGAAUUCCUGGUGGAGCGGUGGAAUGCGCAGAUAUCAGGAGGAACACCAGUGGCGAAGGCGGUUCUCUGGGCCUUUCCUGACGCUGAGGAGCGAAAGCGUGGGGAGCGAACAGGCUUAGAUACCCUGGUAGUCCACGCUGUAAACGGUGGGUACUAGGUGUGGGGUCCAUUCCACGGGUUCCGUGCCGUAGCUAACGCUUUAAGUACCCCGCCUGGGGAGUACGGCCGCAAGGCUAAAACUCAAAGGAAUUGACGGGGCCCCGCACAAGCGGCGGAGCAUGCGGAUUAAUUCGAUGCAACGCGUAGAACCUUACCUGGGUUUGACAUGGAUCGGGAGCGCUCAGAGAUGGGUGUGCCUCUUUUGGGGUCGGUUCACAGGUGGUGCAUGGCUGUCGUCAGCUCGUGUCGUGAGAUGUUGGGUUAAGUCCCGCAACGAGCGCAACCCUUGUUCACUGUUGCCAGCACGUUAUGGUGGGGACUCAGUGGAGACCGCCGGGGUCAACUCGGAGGAAGGUGGGGAUGACGUCAAGUCAUCAUGCUCCUUAUGUCCAGGGCUUCACGCAUGCUACAAUGGCUGGUACAGAGAGUGGCGAGCCUGUGAGGGUGAGCGAAUCUCGGAAAGCCGGUCUCAGUUCGGAUUGGGGUCUGCAACUCGACCUCAUGAAGUCGGAGUCGCUAGUAAUCGCAGAUCAGCAACGCUGCGGUGAAUACGUUCCCGGG